UACGGGGGGGGCAAGCGUUGUUCGGAAUUACUGGGCGUAAAGGGUUCGUAGGUGGCUUGCUAAGUCAGACGUGAAAUCCCUCAGCUUAACUGGGGAACUGCGUCUGAUACUGGCGAGCUUGAGUGCAGGAGAGGAACGCGGAAUUCCAGGUGUAGCGGUGAAAUGCGUAGAUAUCUGGAGGAACACCGGUGGCGAAGGCGGCGUCUGGACUGCAACUGACACUGAUGAACGAAAGCCAGGGGAGCAAACAGG
rnacentral:rRNA from 1 species